UAAUCCAAAACAUCAUGGGGUGCCGGCUGUUUGGUGCCAACAUACGUCACGUUCGUGCAAUGCCAUUCCCAAACAAGAUAAGCAUGAAGGACAGUACUCAUAGGCAGAGUUUUCACCCCCCCUCUCCUGACCCUCUAACUAAAAUCACCCAGUGCUUCCAGAAGUUGUCCUUGUCCCAAACGGGGGCACAACAACUCCCACCCCCCCCUCGCACUCACCCUCUCCUUUCUCACUGAAACGUGUCUGACAGAAGAUUGUAAUGCUCCUAUUCUUAACGAGACAGCACCUGAAAUUUGGCUAUAUGAAUAUGUGUCGAAAUGGUAGGAAAGGAGGAGGAGUGGCUGCCCUAUUCAAAGAUACAUUCCAGUGCAAAGAAAGUACACUAGGUAAUUUUAUUUAUUUUGAAUACCUCUGUUUUACAUUGAAGGUUACGCACAAUUUUGUUUUUAACCAUUUACUGAUUUUGCUGAACUACUCUGUUAUAUCAGUUGAUUAUAACUUGUUUAUUAUUCCAGGGGAUUGUUGCCACCACUAAGCGGCAACCGUCCUGGCGCCGGGACACCAAACGUUUAUGCCACGAAGUGUGCAAGUUGUUGUACAUUUUUUUUUUGUUAUAGGCAUAUAUGUGCAGAAAGCUUAGAAUCUCAUUAAUCUAACUGCAGUACACAAUUUAAAGUAGCUUUUACGGCGACUAACUCCUAUGCAAGUGUUUGAGUAUAGUCAACAUCCACAAAAAUGGCACCAGGGUCGCUAGAGUCUCUAGCAAAAGUCUCCUAGAAGAAACAUUUCAACAUCUUAAAGCUUUCACUUGCUGUCUCGUCACACUGCCAUCAGACUUUUUAAAGAAUUUUUUUUACUCGAUAACAAUGGACCUACAACAAAUAGUUAAUAGCUCUCUACAAUCAGCCAUUAAACCCCUAUUAAGAAAUUAGGGAAUUAAUCCUGCUGGAGGAAUUCAAAAACCACCUUACUGACCGUAUUGUUGUUCUUUUAAAUGAAAAGAAGGUGGCGACGUUGACCCAGGCAGAUUAGUAUUCUGAUGAAACCCUAAUAACUAGAAAAGUACAUUUCCUGAAGAAUGUGGUGUGCUUGCUAGCGGUUUAAAAAGUGUUCAUGGUUUGAAAUAGUGUUUACCUAUCGAAAGGUUUGGAGUCCGUAUAUUUAAAGGUUCAAGAGAUGGGGUUGAUGAGUGUAAUUAGCAUAAAUUAACAUACAUGACAAUUAAACCUCAAAAGUUUUACCAAUUGCAGAUUUCGUGUCUGUAGCUCGAACAGUUCAAAUAAUGCAGCCUAGUAGUUAACACUAUUUACGAUAAUUAGCAUAUGUAAAAUCGAUAACCGUUUCAUAAUUUCCAGUGGGGAUAGCUUAAACGUGUGAAACAAAGUUGGUUUUGUUUGGUUGGUUUUGAACCUCAAAAGGUUCAAAAUAUACAGCUUAAUUGCUAAUUUGAUGCUAAUUUUGCUAAUUAGCAUAUGUAAAAUCAAUAAAGGUUUCUUUAUGUAAACUGGGGAUAGCCUUAACUGGUGAAACCAGUCUGUUUUGUGUCUGCUGCUUGAGCGGUUCAAAAGUUUCAGCCUAGUAGUUAAUUUAUUCUAAUUACGCAAAUGUGCAUAUGUAAAAUCAAAUAACUUUUCCUAAUUUGAAGGAGGGAGAGCCUAAACCGGUGUAACAAAGUUGGUUUUGUGUCUGCAGCUCGAACGAUUCAGAAGAUACAGCCUAGUAGUUAAUUAAUGCUAAUCACGCAAAUUAGCAUACGCAAAAUUGAUAUACGUUUCCAAGUUUGAAGUAGGGAUAGCCUAAACUGGUGUAACAAAGUUGGUUUCGUGACUGCAGUUUGAACGGUUUAAAAGAUACAGCCUUAUACUAAAUUAACAGUAAUCACGCAAAUUAGCAUAUGUAAAAUCAAUUAACAUUUCAUAAUUUGCAGUGGGGAAAGCCAAAUGUGUGAAACAGAGUUGGUUUCAUGUCUGUAACUCAAACGGUUGAAAUAAAAUACAGCCUAAUUGCUAUUUCAUGCUAAUUAAGCUAAUUAACAUAUGUAAAAAUAGAUAACAAUUUCUUAAAUUGCAGUGGGGAUUCCCGAAACUGGUGUAAACAAGUUGGUUUCAUGUCUGUAGCUCAAACAGUUCAAAAGAUACAGCCUAGUAGUUAGUUUAUGCUAAAUAUGCAAAUUAGCAUAUGUAAAAAUCGAUAAACGUGUCCUAAUUUGAAGUAGGGAUUGACUAAACUGGUGCAAAAAAAAUAGUUUUGUGUCUUUAGCUUGAACGGUUCAGAAGAUAUAGCCUAAUUGCUAAUUCAUACUAAUAACACAGAUUAGCAUACGUUGAAUCGAUAAACGUUUCAUAUUUGAAGUAGGGAUAACUUAAACGGGUGUAAAAAAGUUGGUUUCGUGUCUUUUGCUCAAACGGUUCAAAAGAUACAGCCUAAUCGCUAAUUAAUGCUAAUUAUGUAAAUUUGCAUAAUAAAUCGAUAAACGUUUCCUAAUUUGAGGUACACUAAAAUAAUUGACUGUAGAUUUACUUUCACAGUAAGUGACUGUAUGUACAUUUACAGUAAAUUACUGGGAACUAGUUACACAGUUUCACAGUAAGUUACAGUGCAUUAUAGUAAAAUGACAGCUGUAUACUGUGACCUCACAGUAUUUAUGCAAGUAGAUUACUGUCAUUUAGCGGUAUGCUGCUGUAGAAUUACGAAAUUGUCAUUGUAAUGCAAUGUGCUGUAAAUUUAAUACUGUAGAUUUGACCUUUUCACAAUUUCUAUCUGUUCAAUAAACCCAUCAAUAACCUAAAUCUUUGAAAAAUGUGUUAAAUUCAAAUAAACACAAAAACAUGAUACAUUUUUUUAGCAGUUUUAUAUAAACUUUGCAGGACAGUGCAACUACUGCAUUCAUGUUUGUGUCAAUUUCAUUUAGAACCUUUAUACAUCAUAUUCUUAAAACAUUUAGAAGUUGAAGCUAUUUAAAGAUGUUACUUUGGGCUCUAGGAAAUAGUAAUUUCUCAAAAAUGUUUACAUUUUGUAGACUAAACAAUCAAUUGAUUAAUAGAGCAGAUAAACUGGUAAAUAAAGCUGCAAAUGGUUCAUGCUUUGGUACUAAAUAAAAUAAACGUUAGCUGCAGGCCUACUUUAUACAUCAGUUGGCGGCAAUAUACAUAAAAUAGAAUUUUAAAGACAUUUUUCACCUCCAGUUUCACAAAUUAAUUCAAUAAAACGGAAGAGUGAAAUAUUAAAAACACACUUAUAAAACAGUAAACCUUUAACUUAUGCUGUAUGCAUGUCUUGCUUUUCACAGUUACUACAUUGACAUCCACUCAAAGUCAAUUACUUUCCUGAUUAGUGUACACACUUGCUGGUUGAUUUGUCCUCCCUGUUGCUUUGAUUUUGUGCCGUCUCUGAAUUAAUGCCCAAAAAGCACCUAUAAACCAAAACACAGGAGGAAAGUCAUAAGUUUCAUUCAAGUGGGUUUUCCCAAACAGUUUGGACAAUUUGACAUUACUGUGGUUUAGUUAAACAGCAAUUAUUUAAAAUAACAGGAACUGAAAACCAUUUCCAUCACAAACACUUCAAACAACAAAGUGCAGGUGUGUGAUUUACCCAGGCAGCAUCCAUGCAGUGGGCUUCAUUAUGUCAGAUAUACUCAUCAUGCCCUACUGAAAAGGAAGUAAUGUUGUGGCGUAGGCAUAUUGCUUUAAAUCACUGUUAAAAACAUCACUUUGCUUUGGCUUUUCCUUCAAGUAAUUAAAGUUCUUAUCCCAGGCGAUUUUAUUAUCAUCAUCAUCAUUAUCAUGUAUGCUAUGAUAUACUCUGUACUCUAAUGUACUUUUACCUUGUAAUUACUGUUUUUUGUUGUACUUUUACCCUGUAAAGAGCCUUGGUCAACCUUGGUAGUGUGCUAUCUAAAUAAAAUUGAUGUUGUAUAUAACAAUACCAUUAUAAUAGCUGCAAUAAAUUCUAAAUGCUGAACCUAUGGGUAAAAGGUAAAUACAGCUGCUUAUAAAAAGAAAAGACCAAGUGAUUUAAUUGGGUUGUGAUAGCAGGUCUGAAUUAUGUUGGCUUCAGGCAGUGAGGCAACCUUUUUUUUAUAUUUAGAAGUUUACAUUAAAUGAGUACAACAUCAUAGUCUGAACCAUGCACAGAGAUAGUUCGCAAUACAGUUUCUGAAGGUGUAAAUGCACCCAUUAUUAGUUUACCAAAAAAAUAACAAUGCUGUCAGUGUCUCUUGCCUUAUAUUUUUAAUUUUACCUAGGGAUGCACUGACCGAUCAGCUGGUAAACAGAAUCAGCUAGUUUUCAUCAUAAUUGGCCAUGACCGGUGACAAUCAUUCUCACAUAUCCAAUCCUGUGCCGGUCAAAUUUACAUGCAUGCAGACAGUAACCGACACAGCCGCAGCCAGUCUGCACAGGGUGUUUUAUUUUGAAAAUUGACCGAAUUCUCUAUGCCAUCCUGUGUCUGACUUCCUACCAGGUUCGAUCUGCUCUGUGCUUGACGUGACUUCCGUCAAAAAUAGACUUGCCAUGUAUUCUCCGCACAGCGGAGAGCUGCUGCUGGGACACGCUGUGACUCGUCUGUUUCAGGUAGCUCAACAUGUUCUGGACUCGCUGGAAAAGGAAGUAUCUACUGGAGCUGAGAUCAGCCCACACCAGAGAGCCCACAAUACCACAGAUGUUCUUGUAACCCAUCCACCAGUGAAGUCAGAAUUUCAUCAGAGAAACCUGGGCGGCACCACUUAUGCGUUCCAGCAAAAAAGGGUUGGAACAUCUCACAACUGAUUUUGUUAAUCGGCAACAGGUCAGUAACAUGAUUUUGGAGGGGGGAAAAAGCACAUCCCAGUGAGGAUGAUUAUUUCAAAAGUGAAGAUGUGGAGGGGUUCAUCACUCUG
ensembl:lncRNA